UGGAGAAAGAGGAGCACUCCUCCAUUGCUGAAUUUCAGGGACUGAAAUGGAGAAGGAGCCUGGGGAAAAAAUGCCCGGAGACAGGCCCAAGGUGGCAUCCAGCGCAAUAGGAAGUCCCAAGACCUGACACAAACUAUUCGACUUACAAAGGUGACAAAAAGUUAGCUCUAUCCAUGAAGUUUCCCAAGACAAGAUAAAUAAAGAUAUAUAAACCUCAUCUGCUUCAGAUUCUAAUGGACUUUUCAAUUGACAUAGUUACCAGUUCUCUCUUUCACUGGCCCUAAGACUGAAUUCUGCACUGGGAAAGGGGCUGCAGUGACCAACAUUGUUUCUACCUUUUUCCAAGGAUUUUUGCAUCUGCCUCGAUUGCAUGCUGGUUCUUUAUCUCACUGGGUGGUGCACUGAAUCCACCAGAGAAAUGUAAGACUGUAAAGUAGAAUGUUAGAAUCUGAUAUGAGGCCAAAGAUAAUGGGGAGUAGGGCACUCCUAUCGUUCCCCUGUUGGUAUGAAGAACUGGCACUGCAGAUCAGCUCCAAGCCUAGUGACAUCCCACAUAGAUGACAGAGAUCCACACAUCUGUGGACAUGGCAACCACCAUACAUUCCCAAAAUUGACUUGACUCACCUUCUACCUUUACCUGUGUGAGGCUACCUCACUAUCCAAAUAAAAGGUAAAUCCCUCUGCUCGCUCUCUCUCUCUCUCUCUCUCUCUCUCUCUCUCUCUCUC